rnacentral:rRNA from 1 species
UAACGACUCUCGGCAACGGAUAUCUCGGCUCACGCAUCGAUGAAGAACGUAGCAAAAUGCGAUACUUGGUGUGAAUUGCAGAAUCCCGUGAACCAUCGAGUUUUUGAACGCAAGUUGCGCCCAAAGCCAUUUGGCCGAGGGCACGUCUGCCUGGGUGUCACGCA